CCACUGAGGCAUGGGGUGCCUCUUUAUGACCUGGUUGUUAUGAAAGUUCCAGCUCCCACUAGGCCUUUUCUGAUACUGCUCUGGUUGGGUUGGGGGAACAGGCAGGGUUUUGGCAUCUUGUAUGGUACGGUUGAAGUUUAAACUUCCUACUCAGUCUUGGCUGGGGUUAUCAUCAGAGACCUAGUGAUGAGCCUGAAGCCCCGCUCCUACCUAAGCACUAAGAAGACACCCGUUCUUCGGCUGUGUGUCAGUGAAGACUAAGUAGAGAACUUGAGCUUUUAUUCCACCUUGCCUACAAGAGGUGACCCCACUUCUCCUGCCAGAGCAGUGUCAGAGGAUGCCUGGUAAAACCCGGCAUUUAAAUAAGAUCCAGUAUCUUAUAAUAUCUGCAAUGCCCAAAUAGAAAUGGAAAAUCACUCAUCAUACCAAGAACCAAGGUGAUCCCAACUUGAAUGAGAACGGACAAUAAAAGACACCAACCCCAAGAUUA